rnacentral:rRNA from 1 species
ACCGUAGGGGUAAAAAGAUUUUAGUUUUAAUUGUGAGGUUUUGAGAUGAAAAGAAAAGUUUUCUUUAAAGGUAAAAUUAAAAGAAGAUAAUUUUUUCGAAAUUUUAAGCCUUGGAAAAUUUAGAAUGAGACUAGGAUUAGAUACCCUAUUAUUAUUAAAUAAAAAGGAAUUAGGUAGUAUUAGAAGGCUUGAAACUUAAAGAAUUUGGCGGUGUUUUAAUCUUAUCAGAGGAACUUGUAUUAUAAAUCGAAAUUACUCGUUUUAUCUUACUUAAAUUUAGUUUGUAUAUCGUCGUAAAAAUAAAACUUUAAAGUGGAUAUUUAAAAUUAAUUUAUAGAAAAUUGCAGAUCAAGGUUCAGCUGUUUUUAAGAAAAUAUGAGUUACAAUGCUUUGAAAGCAAAUGAAUAAUCUUUUGAAAAGGGGAUUUGAAGGUGGAUUUGAAAGUAAGUUGAAAUAAAAAGUU